rnacentral:rRNA from 1 species
UACGUAGGGUGCAAGCGUUGUCCGGAAUUAUUGGGCGUAGAGAGCUCGUAGGCGGUCUGUCGCGUCUGCUGUGAAAACUCAGGGCUUAACCCUGAGCUUGCAGUGGGUACGGGCAGACUAGAGUGCGGUAGGGGGAGACUGGAAUUCCUGGUGUAGCGGUGAAAUGCGCAGAUAUCAGGAGGAACACCGGUGGGCGAAGGCGGGUCUCUGGGCCGUAACUGACGCUGGAGGAGCGGAAAGCAUCGGGGGAGCGAACAG